rnacentral:rRNA from 1 species
AACGAACGCUGGCGGCAGGCCUAACACAUGCAAGUCGAACGAGAAGCCACCUUCGGGUGGUGGACAGUGGCAGACGGGUGAGUAACGCGUGGGAACGUGCCUUUCGGUUCGGGAUAACCCAGGGAAACUUGGGCUAAUACCGGAUACGCCCUCCGGGGGAAAGAUUAAUCGCCGAAAGAUCGGCCCGCGUCGGGUUAGCUAGUUGGUAGGGUAAUGGCCUACCAAGGUGACGAUCCGUAGCUGGGCUGAGAGGAUGACCAGCCACACUGGGACUGAGACACGGCCCAGACUCCUACGGGAGGCAGCAGUGGGGAAUAUUGGACAAUGGGCGAAAGCCUGAUCCAGCCAUGCCGCGUGGGUGAAGAAGGCCUUAGGGUUGUAAACCCCUUUCAGCGGGGAAGAUAAUGACGGUACCCGCAGAAGAAGUCCCGGCUAACUCCGUGCCAGCCGCCGCAGUAAUAC